GACGAACGCUGGCGGCGUGCUUAAAACAUGCAAGUCGAACGGACUUCUCAUGAAGCUUGCGAUUGAGAAGUUAGUGGCGGACGGGUGAGUAACGCGUGGGCAACCUGCCCCUGAGCCCGGGAUAACAGUUCGAAAGGACUGCUAAGACCGGAUAUACUUGCGGUGAAGCAUUUCACUGCAAGGAAAGGGAACGCUCAGGGGAUGGGGCCCGCGUCCCAUUAGCUAGUUGGUGAGGUAACGGCCCACCAAGGCGACGAUGGGUAGCCGGCCUGAGAGGGUGAACGGCCACACUGGGACUGAGACACGGCCCAGACUCCUACGGGAGCAGCAGUUGGGAAUCUUCGGCAAUGGGCGCAAGCCUGACCGAGCAACGCCGCGUGAGUGAUGAAGGUUUUCGGAUUGUAAAGCUCUGUCUUCCGGGACGAUAAUGACGGUACCGGAGGAGGAAGCCACGGCUAACUACGUG
rnacentral:rRNA from 1 species